rnacentral:rRNA from 1 species
CACUCCUGCGGGAGGCAGCAGUGGGGAAUUUUGGACAAUGGGGGCAACCCUGAUCCAGCAAUGCCGCGUGAGUGAAGAAGGCCUUCGGGUUGUAAAGCUCUUUUGUCAGGGAAGAAACGGUAGUAGCGAAUAACUAUUACUAAUGACGGUACCUGAAGAAUAAGCACCGGCUAACUACGUGCCAGCAGCCGCGGUAAUACGUAGGGUGCAAGCGUUAAUCGGAAUUACUGGGCGUAAAGCGUGCGCAGGCGGUUGUGUAAGUCAGAUGUGAAAUCCCCGGGCUCAACCUGGGAAUUGCAUUUGAGACUGCACGGCUAGAGUGUGUCAGAGGGGGGUAGAAUUCCACGUGUAGCAGUGAAAUGCGUAGAUAUGUGGAGGAAUACCGAUGGCGAAGGCAGCCCCCUGGGAUAACACUGACGCUCAUGCACGAAAGCGUGGGGAGCAAACAGGAUUAGAAACCCGUGUAGUCCCAUGA